rnacentral:rRNA from 1 species
GACGAACGCUGGCGGCGUGCUUAACACAUGCAAGUCGAGCGAUGAGGCCCCUUCGGGGGUGGAUUAGCGGCGAACGGGCGAGGAACACGUGAAGAAUCUGCCUUCAACUCUGGGAUAACUCCGGGAAACCGGGGCUAAUACCGGAUAUGAGCCUUGAUCGCAUGAUCGGGGCUGGAAAGUUUUUCGGUUGAAGAUGACUUCGCGGCCUAUCAGCUUGUUGGUGAGGUAAUGGCUCACCAAGGCGACGACGGGUAGCCGGCCUGAGAGGGCGACCGGCCACACUGGGACUGAGACACGGCCCAGACUCCUACGGGAGGCAGCAGUGGGGAAUUUUGGACAAUGGGGGCAACCCUGAUCCAGCAAUGCCGCGUGAGUGAAGAAGGCCUUCGGGUUGUAAAGCUCUUUUGUCAGGGAAGAAACACCGGCUCUAACACAGUCCGGGAAUGACGGUACCUGAAGAAUAAGCACCGGCUAACUACGUGCCA